GAUGGCUGCUGAGUCUCUGAUUACUGCAGCUUGCAACUCCCUCUCUCUCAGCUAGUAUCUUGAGUCCGCAUUUACCCAUGUGUGGGGUCAGCCGAUUGUAACCCUGCACACCGUGACAGUCAGUGCUCUAGGAAGCCAGGCCAUCAUAAAGCACAAGAGACUGGCUUCUGUAGAUGCUGGCGCAGAAGAAAGGCAUUUUGGAUAGAUGAGAAAGUGGAUUUUACUGCUGGGGUAGGGCUGAUUGGAAGGAGCUAUUUUGCAUUUGAUGGUGCUUGUUAAUGUAGCCACUAGUUGAGCACAUAUACAAAAAUCCCCUGGCAGCUAUCCCAAAACAGAGUGCAAACAUGUGUGUCCUCUGAACAUCUCCCUUGAUUUGUCCCUCAUCAAUCGGCUUUUCCAGGUUUCUUUGUGUUCUUGAUAAUUUGCCUACCUUUUCCUAAUGUAUUUGUGUUGGUGCAGAGCAAAAUAAAAUUGUGUGUUCUUCUUUUGAUUUAAAGGGGCACUGACAACUUGAAAUCACACUUCCCUUUUUAAUUUUGUUUCACCUGCUAUUGUUACAAGUAAAACCUAAAGCUUGCUGUCACAGAGAGAGAUUAGAAAAACAAUUAUUUUGCUCUAUUUUUUCCAGUUUAUUUUUCUUUCAUCAUUUGACAGCACGAGCUGCAUAAUCAGUUUCACUCUAGUCAGUUUCUCCUGUCUGUUUGGGUCUUUCAAGCAGCAACAAAAGAGAGAGUUGAUUUGUUUUUUUGUUUGUUUGUUAAAUCUCACAAACUGGCAGAGAUGCAGAGGCAGGUACUAAAUUGUCUAGAUACCAGACUGGCAGUAUCUCUCAAGAGACACUGCCAGAUAGUUUACAACAAAAAUAAAUCUUUUUAAAAUGGAUGGUUAAAGGAACUAAUUGUGUGUUGAUCUACCAUGCACCUAUCACAUUGGUACCCGGGCUUCUAUGUUAAUAGAAGAAUUUAUUUUGAAAAA